rnacentral:lncRNA from 1 species
UAGUUCAGGAGGAAUCUGCAUGUAUAAUUAAGUCAUAUGGUUAGUCCACAGAUGACAGAAACCAGUAAAAUAUAAAGGUGGCGAUGUUAAAAUUUUCAGAGAGAGGCAGAACUGCAAAGCAACGUUUCCGAAAAGGAUGAAAGAAAGGCACCAGCUACCUGGGGAGCUAUCACAGUUUUUAAGAAAAGGGCCAUUUCACCACCUGAAACAGAAGGUAGUUUUUGGCUAGGUACAUCAACCAAGCAACGAAUUUCAGUGCUGCUAAUAGGAUAAAACAAGAUAGGUGAAGGAUCUUCCAGUAUAAUAGCUCCAUAAUUUGCAUGCGGAAGUUUACAGUUCUCCAGAACCAAACCAACAAAAUAAGAGGGGAUAUCAACCUGCAGAAACAAUCAAGAACUUUGUAUUUCUCAAAGCAUAAAACGCAAGAAGAUUAAGCAAGAAAGUAUGAAUGUGCCCAUUUGUAUGUGCUCCUUAUGGACUCAAAGCUUCUCUUAUUUCCCCAAAAACUUACAUUACCAUUUUCUAAGCAAUUCAUGUAAAUGAAAAACUUUCUUUCAACAUGAUUUUUCUUAUAGAAGAUCAGUUAAGUUUAGUAAGAAAUUUGAUAAUUGACAAGAUUUGCUCAGCAAUUUCACCUUAGGGUAGCAGAGAGAGCGUCUCAAAUUUGAGAAACCACCAUCGCAGACAAUGGUGAGGGGAGCCGAUGCUGUCAGCUCUUGACCACUCUUGUUUUUGUAAUGAACUCCUUGAAUAGUCCCACUUUCUUCAAGCAGAGAUGUUACUGUCCCUUGUUCUAGAUUUACACUACACAAUCAAAGGAUAAAAGAACAUGAAUUUGGAUUUGAAAGUCCCAUUUUAUCACUUGCAUCUUAGAAGUUAGCUUUGCAAAUUUGUACAAGUCAAGAUUUUGAUAACAGAAGAAAAACAGUGUAUAUAUUUUGUCAUGGCAGGGGCCACUAAAGCAAAACAGAACAAUGAAAGUAAUCUGGGAAAAAGUCGAAAAAGGGUAAUAUGAACAUCAGCAAUGAACACUGGCACUAACAUAAAUUGUUUGAUAUUGAAGAAUGAUUAUGAUGAAGUAGAUAAGUACUUGGGAAGAGAUGCAGCUUUCUCCCGCAACUUUUGUACAAAGCGUCCAUUAUGGAAGUUUCUUCCAGCCACAUGGGACUGAAACUUUUCCAGGGGAAAAGAUAUCUUGGUGCCGUUUCCAUCCUUGUACAGAUCAUAACCAGAAAUUCGCUGAGCAUCAAUCCCAUCUACACAAUCUGCAGUGCCAAAAAUCAAUGUAACAAAAUUUGGCGCGGAACACAGAGAGAGAGAGAGAGAAAAGAGCAAGAAGAAAAGAGUUGCGCACCAUCCAGGCCUAACUCAAUUAACUUGACGUAGCCCCCUGGUAAUAAAGCUUCGCCAGCAAUUCUGUCAGGCGGAUUUAACUCUCUCUCGAUCACAUGCACUCGACGUCCGUCCUGCAACAUGUAAUUGCAGAGAAGAAUUUCAGUUAGUUUAUAUCAUAAAAGGAAUGGGCCAGAACAUAACAGAAGCUUAUGCUAUAGAGGGAAAAGAAAGAGAGAGAGAGAGAGAUUCAGACCUUUCCUAGGGAAUAGGCAAGAGCAGCACCUGCAACUCCGGCACCGACUAUGAUAAUAUCUGUAGCCCCAACAACCUCGCCGUUCCCCGUUUUCUUCACACAGUUUUCCACAGGGAACUCCAUAGAUAUUCUUGUCUUCUUGAGUCUUCUUACUAAAGAAUUGUACAAGAAAACAAACCCCAGAAAAGAAGCUAUCACUCCUCCAACUAUGUACUGGUAAGCCAUUAUCUGGAAUGAAAUGAUCAAAGAAGAAUACGAGAACAGGGGCGAUGAGGCUGCUUAUCUUUUGUACUCCCUCUUCAAAGCUUAUUUAAAUCAUUUUUUCCAAAACGGGGGAUGGAUACCCACUUGCUUUGCAGCCGGCUUUAUGCAAGUGGAUAUGACUUGCGGAGCGAUUGGACAGCCAGGCGGUUGCCCGUACGGCUCAAUAACUUCCAAAGUUUAAAAUUAAAUAUUUAAAUAAUUUUUUUAUUAAAAUUUUUAAUUCAAUAAAUCAACUACCAUAUAAAAUAAAAAUAAAUAUAAAAUUCAAAUUAAAAUAAAAAUUUAUAAAAUUAAAAUAAUAAUACCUAAUUGUUGAAUAUUUAUUGUAAAUAACAAAUAAAACUUAUGAUUUUAUGAAAAUAAUAGUAUAAUAAAUUUUUUAUGUAUUCUUUGAAAGAAAAUUAAAAUUUAAAAAAAAUAAAUAAAAAAAGAAAAAUUUAAAAAUAGAUAUUAUAAAAUAAAAAAUAUUAAUUUUAUAUAUAAAAAAUAAUUAUUAGAGAUAAUUAAAUAUUUUAANUAUAAAAUAAAUAAAUAUUAAUUUUAUAUAUAAAAAAUAACUAUUAGAGAUAAUUAAAUAUUUUAAUUGAUUAAAAAUAAAAAAUAAUUAAAAAAAAACUAUUAGAGAUUAUAAAAUACAUAUUAAUGUUGGUUGAUUGAAAAUAACAAAAAUAAUUGGACAGUAUUGUAGGAAUUGAAAAUUGAUAAAAAAAAUUUUAAUUUAUUAAUUAUUUUGAUUUUUAUAUGAAAAAUAAAAUAAGUAGUUGAGAAUUAAUAAGAAUAUGAAAAAAGAAUAAAAUAAAUAUUUAUUAAACUUAAAAGAAUAAAUAAAUAUUUUAUUAAUUAAUUAUAUUAUUAUUAUUAUUAUUAUAAAAUUAAAAAUUUAUAAAAUUUUGGCACCUAAAGCCACCGUUUGGUAGCUUUACCCUUGAUUCUCAAUCAUUCGCUAGAUACGUCUCCAUCAGGUUUGGAUCUUCCAGCCACGCAUUCCUUGUCCAGGAGCAAUGGCAAAUAAUAGGAGCAAAAAUGGUAAAGCACCAGGAUAUAUGGCUUGACAUAAAUAGUAAGAGAUAAAGGAAGAAGAAAAAACGAUGAUUAUAAUUAAGUUGUUAUCUUUGUAAAUUCUUUUAACGGUUACAAGUUAGUAUUUAUCUAUUGUUCUAUCAGAAGAAAAAUAAAAUAGAAAAGUUGAUUUAAUUGAUUAGUUUGUUCAUUUUAAUUAUAACAUGAUACUCUUUGAUGCUAUUUAGAAUGUAAAUUUUUGAACAAAAGGAGCAAAAAAGUUACACAUUUACGUUAUAAUUUAGGAUUUUAUUAAAAAAUAAAAAGAUUAAUUACUCUUAAAUAGAGAAAAGAAAUUCUAAAUAAUUAAAUUAAAUUUUUUUAUUUAGACUUUACGUAUUUCAUCUGUUAUUGUUGAUUUAUUUACAUCUCAAAAAAUAAUUGUGUUUAAUUUUAUCGUUUGUGAUACUGUAUGCUUUUUUUUAUAGAUAUUUUUACUUGACUUAAUGUUCAUAAAGUAUAUUAAUUAAGUAUAUAUCGAAUGUAAUUUUAGUUUGUUGCAAAAAUAAAAUCAUGAUAAUUCAUAAUUCGGUAAUUAAGUAAUAUUCCUAUAAUCACAUUACAUUAUACAUGUAUUAAGUUCAAUGUUUUGAAAAAAAUAAAAAAUACCUCCAUAAAUUAAUUUUUUAUUAAUUAACGUAUAAAUUAAUAAAUUAUUAAUUUGUUGAUUAAAUAAUAUCUCGAUUAAUUCAUAAAUUUUCAUGGUCCCAAGGGUAUUAAUUUAUAGAAGUUUUACUGUAUUUUACAUCUUUUAAUGAUGUGAAGAAAUGUAAUGUUAGUAUACAUUUUUAGACAAAAUACACUGACCCUCUUAAGUUUUGACUAUAAUUAUAUAUUAAUCCAUUAGUAUUAAAAAUGGACAGUUUACCUUAAACGUGUAAAUGGUGUUAACGAAAAAUAUAAAAUAUCUACAAUAUCCUUCUUCUUUUUCCACUUUUUUUCACUAUUUUCAUUUUUCUCAAGCCGAUCGGCUUGGUUGACCACCCCGCUACUACAUUUGGCCAUUGAAUGCAUAUCCGUUUAGAUCUCUCUAGGGGGAAGGCGAGAUCAAUGCUCCUUUAGGAAGCAUGGGGGGUGUGCAACCAGAUCGCGCUCCCACUGGGGAGAUUUGGCUAGAGAUGGAUUUGGUGUUCCCACAAUCGGAGCUAGAUCUGGCACUCUGGCCUCGAGAACGCUAAAGGUAAGGUAGAGACAAUUUUUUUUAGGUAAAAUAUUCUCAUUCCCCUAACUUUUAAUCAUAAUUUCAUGCAAGUCUAUUAAUUUUCAAAAUAGAUAGUCUACCCAAAAAUGUAAAUACCGUUGACAAAAACUAUGAAAGGACUAAAAUGUCCUUUCUUCUUUCUCUCAUUUUUGUUCUCAAACAAUGUGGUUAGCCAGCAACUGGCCGACCACCCCACAAUAGGUGCUCCCUAAGGGAGGGGAGCACCUUUGGGAGCACAAAUCUAAUGCUCCCAUGAAUUUUUUGCUCCCUUGAUUUUUUUUUUAAAUUUAUAUAAUAGUAAUUUUUAAAAUUAAUAAAGGAUAAAAUUAUACUUUCAAUAUUGUCACAUCAUUAAAUUAACAGAAACAUUAAUAGUUGACUAACGAUUAGAUUUAUAUAUCCAGCAUAAAAUAUUUUUGAUAUGAAAUGUCUAUUUUGAAAACUAAUGGACCCGUUUGAAAUUUUGAUCAAAAGUUAAGGGGUCUAGGUAUUUUAUCCUUUUUUUAAUAAGAGAGAAAAAAAUUUAAAAAUAAAAAAUUAUAAUUUAUAUAAGAUGGUAAUUUUUAAAAUUAAUGAAGGGUAAAAUUAUCUGAAAAAUAUUUUCAUGUUAUCAAACUAAUAGAAACAUUAAUGGUUAGCUAACGACUGGACUUAUGUGUCCAACGAAAGAUUUUUUUUUUAGCAAAUUGUCUAUUUCAAAUACUAAUAGACUUGUGUGAAAUUAUAAUCAAAACUUAGGAGAGUCAGGGUAUUUUACCUUAUAUUUUAUUUUCAUGAUUUUAUGUACUUUUAUUUUGCACUAAAUAGGUUCUUCAUGAUGAGUUGAUUAAUUGUUUGACAUUAAUCAAAACAUUAUUUGUCAUUUAAUAUCUUACCAUGGUCUUACAUUGAAGAUGAUAAAUAUCAUGUGAUCAUGUUAAUAUACCACAAUAGUAUGUCAUAUCAUCAUUUGCUAUGACAUAUUAGUAUAAAGUUAUUUAUCAUUAACAUGAAAAACAAAAAAUACUACAACGUGAUCAUGUCAUGAAAAAUAUUGCAUGAUUAUGUUAAUAUGCCACAACAACAUGUCAUAUUACCAUAUACUAUAACAUGUUAGUAUAACAUUACUUGUCAUUUUAUACCCAUAUGGCAUUAACGUGAAAAAUGAAAAAUACCAUGAUGUGGUCAUGUCAUGAAAAUUGUUGCAUGAUCGUAUGCCAAUAUGCUACAACAGUAUGUCACAUGUUAGCAUAACAUCAGUAUGUUAUGUCACCAUUUACUAUAAUAUGUUAGCUUGCCACAUUAAUACCACAUAACAUAAAAAUGAAAACUGAUAUUGUUAUUAGUCAACUGUUAAUUAUAAGAGUCUAUUUGAUCAAAAUUAAAAGUACACUGGCUUAAUUAAAUAUAAUAAAAAAUAGAAAUUUAUUUAAAUUUUUUUGAAUAACUUAUGAGCUCUUUAAAAUAUUAUGCCAAGAUUCAAUAAAAAAAUCUAUCGAGCAUAUAAUUUUUAAUAAUAUAUUAAUCAAAAUUUUAAGUUGAUGUGAAAGAGUCGUUUCCAAUUUUUUUUUUUUUGUUUAGGUGUGAUUGGCCCCUUCAAUAGAUAUAUUUUUUCUAAUGAAAUCUUAAAUUCAACUUAAAUGCAUUAAAAAAAUAUGUUUUGAUGUAUAAAACAGAUUAAAUUUGGAAGUACAGUUACUUGUGAAAAAAGUAUUAGUAAAAUGGUACCAAAUUAAUCAUGUGUUAUUUUUAACUUUAUUAAAUUUUAAUUCCAUUUUUAAUUUUAUUUUUACUAAUCAAUUUGUAUAUAUUUUUUUUAUAAAAAUUCAAAAUGGUGAAAGAAAACUUAUCUCAAUUUUUUCAAUGUGCUGGCAAAAAUUAAGAAAUUUGACUAAAAAAAAAAAACUCUUCUUGACUUUCCUAACAUAUUGGUAAAACUCGAGAAGUUUUAUAAAACCUUUCGUGAAUUUUUCCAAGUUUUGUCAAAAACCUAAAAAUUUAAAAAAUAUUUUCUUAAUUUUCCCAACAUUUUGUAGUAAAUUGUCAAAUUUUUAUUAAAUUUUUUUUGACUUUCCCAACAUGCUAGCAAAAAUCAUAAAUUUUUAUGAAAAUUUCUUUUAAAAUUUUCUCAAUGUUUUGGAGAAAAUCCAAAAAAUUGGAAAGAAAAAAGCUUUUUCUCAAUUUUCCCAACAUCCUGGCGAAAAUUGAGAAAAUUUUAGUAAAAGAAAAUUUUGGCUUUCUCUAGCCUAGAUGUGGUCAAAACAUUUAUUUUGAUUGUCAUAACAUGUGACUUCAAAACUCUAACCGUUCAAAAGUGAAGUCAUCGUUAAUUUUUUUUUAUUUAAGUGCGGGUAGUCACCUAAGUAAAUCAAUCUUUAUUAAUGAAAUUUUAAAUUCGACUUAAGUUCUUUAAACAGAAUAAAAAUUUCUUAAUUUUUACCAACAUGGGAAAGUCAAGAUGUUUUCUUUUGAUAAAAAUUUUCUCAAUUUUCGACGGUGUGUUAGGAAAAUUGAAGAAAAACCUUUUUUCUCUUUCAAAUUUUUUAGAUUUUAGCUAAAACAUUGGAAAAACUCAAAAAAGGUUUUCACAAAACUUUUCGAUUUUUAUUAAAAAGAACUUUUAUUGUAUUAUCAUAAUUUUUCCUAAAAAAAUCUAUCAUAAAUGUUUAUUAAAAUUUAUUAUCUUUUUAUGAUUUAAAAUUAUUACAUCCUAUCUUAUUUUAAUGGUACAAUAAUACUCAAUAGAAUCUACUCAAAAACUGACUCGACACUAUUUUCAUUAAAAUCAGCAAAAAAAAACAAAAAACAAAAGCAAAUUUUGUAAAUUGGGUUUCUAGAAUCCAAUGGAUAACUGCUCUUGUGACGAUUUCGAGAAGGAUUGCAGCAAGUUUGAUGAUCUCUGCUAAGAUAGCAUCUUCUUUUACUUGCUCAACAAGUUGCUGAGUAGCAGACAGGAAAUUUUCUUGUGAACUUGGAAUUGUUAGACUCUCGGAAUGACCAAAGUUUCUUUGAAUGUCUGUAGAUGCUUGUUGCUGCAGAUUUCUUGAAUCUGUUUUCUUAGAGGGGAGGAGCUCUGUAGUAUGCUGGCACAGUUAGAGGGAAAAACAUUUGUCUGACUCCUUCAGACUUUAUAAGGGGGAAAAGGAUACCUGAUGCAACCUGAGAAAACAAGAAAUUGGAAAGGUAACACGUCAGAUUUGUUUUAGGUUGUUCUGAAGUUGCAGUGAACACAAUUGGCAAAGAAACAUGACAAUGUAACAAUAUUUUAACAGAGAUACUGACCCAAAUCAGUUUAGCCCCGGUCCAAAUGCGGUUGGGAGAAGGAAAUGGAAGUAACAACCGGCCAACACCAUACACUGCCAUGGCAAAGAAGUGAAAUGCUAAGCUUGAUGGACGAGGGUACAGACCAGAGAGUAGAGAUGAUAGUCCAUUUGAAAAUAUGCCUCCAAGACUCAAAUAGCCGAAACAUGCUUGUUGCAUUUGCUCCAUUGCAGGAUCAGACGAGGCACUAAAUACCUUGUGUAGGGUGUCAGCCAACGUAUUUAUCGUAGAUGCCAUUGGCUGCAUGCAGGACCAAAACCAUCCAGUUAAUGCAAAAUUCUACAUUUUCUGAUGCAACUUAGAGAAGUUGCCCUCAAUUUAGUUACCAAAAAUAAUGCCAGAAACAUUUGAAAUAAUGUAACGGAGGUGUUUAUGCACAAAAUGUAUACAUGAAUUGUAAAUUUACUGCAGAGAGGAACAUAUGUAUGUAGCUUACCUUCCUCAGGGUAUAAAAAGAUUCAAGAUAUCUGCAAACUGCCGAUGCAUUACCUAGAUUGUGCAAGGGUCUUAGAAGAUCCCUUAUCACAACAACAUCAGAUAGUGCAACAGUCAUUCCUCCUCCGGUUAUAGGAUGUCGCAUAUUGAAUGCAUCACCCAUCAAAAGUGCACCAGGAGUAGGGAGUGGAGCUGCUGGCAUGGUUCUAUUCGCCAUAGUUCUUAUGUUGUUCUGCUUCUCUACUGCAGAGAUAAAGGCAGUGUAUAGUUCAGGAGGAAUCUGCAUGUAUAAUUGAGUCAUAUGGUUAGUCCACAGAUGACAGAAACCAGUAAAAUAUAACGGUGGCGAUGUUAAAAUUUUCAGGGAGAGGCAGAACUGCAAGGCAAGGUUUCCAAAAAUGAUGAAAGAAAGACAGCAGCUACCUUGGGAGCUAUCACAGUUUUUAAGAAAUGGGCCAUUUCACCACCUGAAACAGA